CCCCACUUACAAUCUCCAUGUAGGGAUAUGUUCUAAGACCUCCAGUGGACACCAGAAACAGGUUAGCACUGAACCCUAAACAGACUAUGUUUUUUCCCUUUCAUUUUAGUGCUGACAACUAAAGGAGCACACCUGCUCAGUGCCUGCCAUGUGCCUUCUAAGAGCCAGACAUAGAUCCUGGUGCCAGGAGUUCAGUUAGGAAUAGAGACCCUGCCCCCACGGAGUUGGCAGCCUAAUGGGGAGUCAACAAUAGGACAUCAGGUUCAGGACAGAGAAUUCCUCUCUAGCUGGAUGCCCACCCCCCAGACUAACAUGCAAACUCCAUGCAAAGACUUGGUUUUGCUUAAUCUUAACCUCAGCACGUAGAAGAAUGACUACACAUGGGUGCACUCAAUUCGGGCUUAUUGAUGGAAUGAGUGACAGGAAUGUUGAUGGAAUGAGUGAAAGGGUCCUUCUGCUGAUGGCAUGUUCCAAAUGUAGACACAGUGCAGUGUUCUGUUUAUAAUGAAACCCAAGUCC
rnacentral:lncRNA from 1 species